rnacentral:tmRNA from 1 species
GGGGGUGAUUCUGGAUUCGACGAGAUUCACGAAACCCGAAGAGCAUGCCGAGGGGCGGUUGGCCUCGUAAAAAGCCGCACAAUAUAGUUGCAAACGACAACUACCAACCAGCUUUAGCUGCUUAAUAACCAGCUAGGCUCCAUCGUUCUCCCGCUUUUCAUGUGGGCUGAGAUUUUCGAUGGUCAUCUUACGCAUGAUAGUCGUUUCGCGUGUCUAGGCGCUCACGAUGAAAAUUUUUCUAGAAUCGCUGAAUGACCUCCUGUUUGUCGGAUGUCACUCAGUUAACCUAAAGACAAACUAAGCAUGUAGCGCUGACGGCGUAGGUUUUUCGGACGCGGGUUCAAAUCCCGCCACCUCCACCA